rnacentral:rRNA from 1 species
UACGUAGGGUGCAAGCGUUAAUCGGAAUUACUGGGCGUAAAGCGUGCGCAGGCGGUUAUGUAAGACAGGUGUGAAAUCCCCGGGCUUAACCUGGGAACUGCAUUUGUGACUGCAUAGCUAGAGUACGGUAGAGGGGGAUGGAAUUCCGCGUGUAGCAGUGAAAUGCGUAGAUAUGCGGAGGAACACCGAUGGCGAAGGCAAUCCCCUGGACCUGUACUGACGCUCAUGCACGAAAGCGUGGGGAGCAAACAGGG